rnacentral:rRNA from 1 species
CCUACGGGAGGCAGCAGUAGGGAAUCUUCCACAAUGGACGAAAGUCUGAUGGAGCAACGCCGCGUGAGUGAUGAAGGUUUUCGGAUCGUAAAACUCUGUUGUAAGGGAAGAACAAGUACGUUAGGAAAUGAACGUACCUUGACGGUACCUUAUUAGAAAGCCACGGCUAACUACGUGCCAGCAGCCGCGGUAAUACGUAGGUGACAAGCGUUGUCCGGAAUUAUUGGGCGUAAAGCGCGCGCAGGCGGUUCCUUAAGUCUGAUGUGAAAGCCCACGGCUCAACCGUGGAGGGUCAUUGGGAACUGGGGGACUUGAGUGCAGAAGAGGAGAGUGGAAUUCCACGUGUAGCGGUGAAAUGCGUAGAGAUGUGGAGGAACACCAGUGGCGAAGGCGACUCUCUGGUCUGUAACUGACGCUGAGGCGCGAAAGCGUGGGGAGCGAACAGGAUUAGAUACCCUGGUAGUCCACGCCGUAAACGAUGAGUGCUAAGUGUUAGAGGGUUUCCGCCCUUUAGUGCUGCAGCAAACGCAUUAAGCACUCCGCCUGGGGAGUACGGCCGCAAGGCUGAAACUUAAAGGAAUUGACG